AUUGAACGCUGGCGGCAUGCCUAACACAUGCAAGUCGAACGGGGUGUAGCAAUACAUCUAGUGGCGGACGGGUGAGGAAUACAUAGGAAUUUGCCCUUAAGUGGGGGAUAGUCCGGGGAAACGUACGGUUUAAUACCGCAUGAUCUCGUGAGAGCAAAGCAGGGGACCGGCAAGGCCUUGCGCUUUGGUAGAAGCCUAUGUCGGAUUAGCUAGUUGGUAGGGUAAUGGCCUACCAAGGCAACGAUCCGUAACU
rnacentral:rRNA from 1 species